rnacentral:rRNA from 1 species
UCCUACGGGGGGCAGCAGUCGGGAAUAUUGCGCAAUGGAGGAAACUCUGACGCAGUGACGCCGCGUAUAGGAAGAAGGUUUUCGGAUUGUAAACUAUUGUCGUUAGGGAAGAGAAAGGACAGUACCUAAGGAGGAAGCUCCGGCUAACUACGUGCCAGCAGCCGCGGUAAUACGUAGGGAGCGAGCGUUAUCCGGAUUUAUUGGGCGUAAAGCGAGUGCAGGCGGUUCAAUAAGUCUGAUGUGAAAGCCUUCGGCUCAACCGGAGAAUUGCA